rnacentral:rRNA from 1 species
UACGAAGGGAGCUAGCGUUGUUCGGAAUCACUGGGCGUAAAGCGCACGUAGGCGGAUGUGUCAGUCAGGGGUGAAAUCCCGGAGCUCAACUUCGGAACUGCCUUUGAUACAGCACGUCUUGAGUCCGAUAGAGGUGGGUGGAAUUCCUAGUGUAGAGGUGAAAUUCGUAGAUAUUAGGAAGAACACCGAUGGCGAAGGCAGCUCGCUGGGACGGUACUGACGCUGAGGCGCGAAAGCGUGGGGAGCAAACAGG